rnacentral:rRNA from 1 species
UUGGAGGGCAAGUCUGGUGCCAGCAGCCGCGGUAAUUCCAGCUCCAAUAGCGUAUAUUAAAGUUGUUGCAGUUAAAAAGCUCGUAGUUGAAUUUCGGGAUCAAUAUGUCGGUCGUGCCUUCGGUACGUACUGGUAUCAUUGGUCUCUCCCUUCUGACGAACCAUGAUGUCAUUUAUUUGGUGUUGUGGGGAAUCAGGACUGUUACUUUGAAAAAUUAGAGUGUUUAAAGCAGGCUCACGCUUGAAUACAUUAGCAUGGAAUAAUGAAAUAGGACGUUUGAUUCUAUUUUGUUGGUUUCUAGGAUCGACGUAAUGAUUAAUAGGGAUAGUUGGGGGCAUUAGUAUUCAAUUGUCAGAGGUGAAAUUCUUGGAUUUAUUGAAGACUAACUACUGCGAAAGCAUUUGCCAAGGAUGUUUUCAUUAAUCAAGAACGAAAGUUAGGGGAUCGAAGACGAUCAGAUACCGUCGUAGUCUUAACCAUAAACUAUGCCGACUAGGGGAUCGGAUGAUGUUAAUUUUUAAUGACUCA